rnacentral:lncRNA from 1 species
GGAAAGGGAAAGGAAAGGGAAAGGGAAAGGGAAAGGGAAAGGGAAAGGGAAAGGGAAAGGGAAAGGGAAAGGGAAAGGGAAAGGGAAGGGGAAGGGGAAGGGAAGGGAAGGGAAGGAAAGGAAAAAGGAAAGGAAAGACUGGCAUCCUAGCACAUUCUGAAUAACAUCAUGCCAAAUUUUAAAAACAAAUGCAUAUGAAUGUAUGGCAGUACAACUGAAGGUAGCUGCCUAUUUCACCCACAAUCUAUCCCAUCCCGCCAAAUCCAGUAGAAAAUCUCCCAGGAGCGGUGUUAACUGUGGUAGCUGUGAAGUAAACAAAGCCAAUUAAAGCUCCUCACAAUUUCUUGAUAUUUGGCCAUCAUUUCUGCCUCUUAAAUAUGCCUACUUGCAUGUAUGCUCAUGUACCUUAUGAAUGACAACCUGUUAUGCUAAAUCAUUGCAUCAGCGUUCACAUGCACAUCCAGCUCUGUCAGUGGCUGAAUAUUUAUGAUGUUGCAGCUGGCACUGUUUCCAACCUGAGAAUCCAAUUCUUCUCUGAAGAAAAUAGUUUAUUCUGGGGGUUUCUUUUCCUAGGAAGAAAUGGAAAAUCUUGGAAAUACCCAUGUCCUGUGAGACACUAAAUGAACUUUCCAGAAAGCUUCAUGGAACAGUCUGAAUUUCCCCCACUCUCAGCAGGGAAUGCCGGGCUUGAAACUAGGAAAACAAGACUCCAAGCUCAGAGGGCUGUGUACACUGUGUUGUGAUUGGAUCCUCAGCCUUGUCAUCACCAGCAUAUAUGCCAAUAACAUGGAAGAUGCUACAGAAGCUGAACUCAACACACUGUGCUUGUUUUUGGAAAAUGUCAGCUGUCUUCGUGUCACACAGAGCACAGAUUCCCUGCUCCCUCACUCUGGCUAUUACUGCUUCAUGCUUUCCAUGAAAAGAAAUUACCAGCUUGGCCAUGACCAGUGCCUUAAGGUUCUGUGUCUGUAACUUGUACAAGCAUGAGCAUCAUGUAAAUAAGGAAACGUGGUGCUGGCACACAUCUACAUGCUGUAGACCCCUCCACUUACCACCAUUAAACAGGAUGUGAUCUGGAAAUGGAAUGACUACACACUAAAGACAAUGUUUGUAUUGUUGGCCCGGUUCUUCCUGCCUGUAACGAAUGUCAUUCCAGAAGGAGGGAUGGAGGAAGGAAACCUUCAUAAAUGAAGGAAAUGUGAAAAGGAAGGAGAUAAGGAAUCACCACUUGGGAAACAGAAUAUACUGAGUCAUAGCUAGUUUGUAUAUUUAAAUGGUGGAGACGAUUAGCGUAAUUGUCCUUAUUUUCAGCUCAGUCCUCUGUUUUGACUCAUCUGUUGGAACGAGCCUUUGGAGAAUAACGCAAUUGUAUGUGAAGCCCGCUUGUUACUUGUGGUUCUGAUCCAAAGGCUCGUGGCAAGCUGGCUCUUGUGAAGCCUAUGUCCCAAGCUGAACAUGAUGUGUGUGAGCACAGGGAUGGACAAACUGAGAGGACAAAAGAGAAGCAUGAUGCAUGGUAAGAGUUGCUGUAAAAGUUAUAAUAAAUGGUGUGCGUAUCAGAGCA